UAAUGCUGUUUUGUAUGACUCAAAAAAUAAUUAGGAUUGUUAUUUAAGUUUAGUCUAAAAAAAAUACUGCAAUCAUGGUUUAAAAUUAAAUAAAAAGGCAGAGUGGUACAAAAUAUUAAAAUAUUAAAAAUGCCAUUUUGUCCCACUAUCCAUUUUGCACCUAUGCAUUUGUCGUAGAACUACAAAAUAAGAUUCAAAUUCGUGAUUUAAUAAAGAUUUAAUGUGAUUUUAAGUUGUUUAUGUAGUGUUCUAAUUCUAGAGGUUUAUUUAUGCAAAUGCUGCGUGACUUUGACAUGUUUUAAUGGGCGUGAGCGCUGAAUACUGGAGUCUCAUUCAAACGCUGGAGCGGAGGGAGUUGCCAUGGAAACGGGGCGACAACACCAACUGACGAACUUCUCUCUCGCAGCUGUUUUCACUUCUUUCAGAAAACUGUGAAAGAGUCCGUUAGCAUCUCAACUGUUUUCAGACAAGGAGUGAUAAUAUAAUCUCUCUACAACAGAAGAGAAGCUUCAAAAUGUAAAUGUUUCUGAAU